rnacentral:rRNA from 2 species
UACGGAGGGUGCGAGCGUUGUCCGGAAUCACUGGGCGUAAAGGGCGCGUAGGCGGCGCGGGCAGUCAACGGUGAAAGCUUGGGGCUCAACCCCGAGUCGGCCGUCGAUACUCCCGGGCUGGAGCACUGUAGAGGCAGGUGGAAUUCCGGGUGUAGCGGUGGAAUGCGUAGAGAUCCGGAAGAACACCGGUGGCGAAGGCGGCCUGCUGGGCAGUAGCUGACGCUGAGGCGCGACAGCGUGGGGAGCAAACAGG